rnacentral:rRNA from 1 species
GUGGGGAAUAUUGGACAAUGGGCGCAAGCCUGAUCCAGCCAUGCCGCGUGAGUGAUGAAGGCCUUAGGGUUGUAAAGCUCUUUUGUCCGGGACGAUAAUGACGGUACCGGAAGAAUAAGCCCCGGCUAACUUCGUGCCAGCAGCCGCGGUAAUACGAAGGGGGCUAGCGUUGCUCGGAAUCACUGGGCGUAAAGGGCGCGUAGGCGGCCAUUCAAGUCGGGGGUGAAAGCCUGUGGCUCAACCACAGAAUUGCCUUCGAUACUGUUUGGCUUGAGUUUGGUAGAGGUUGGUGGAACUGCGAGUGUAGAGGUGAAAUUCGUAGAUAUUCGCAAGAACACCAGUGGCGAAGGCGGCCAACUGGACCAACACUGACGCUGAGGCGCGAAAGCGUGGGGAGCAAACAGGAUUAGAAACCCCUGUAGUCC